GAACGCGAAGAACCUUACCAGAUCUUGACAUCCCGCGAACGCCCAUGAGGAUGGGCGGUGCCUUCGGGAACGCGGAGACAGGUGGUGCAUGGCUGUCGACAGCUCGUGUCGUGAGAUGUUGGGUUAAGUCCCGCAACGAGCGCAACCCCUGUUGCUAGUUACCAUCAUUAAGUUGGGGACUCUAGCGAGACUGCCUGCGAAGAGCAGGAGGAAGGUGGGGAUGACGUCAAGUCAUCAUGCCCCUUAUGAUCUGGGCUACACACGUGCUACAAUGGGCUGUACAGAGAGGAGCGAGGCGGUGACGCGGAGCGAAUCUUGAAAGCAGUUCGAAGUUCGGAUUGAAGUCUGCAACUCGACUUCAUGAAGUUGGAAUCGCUAGUAAUCGCGGAUCAGCAAUGCCGCGGUGAAUACGUUCUCGGGUCUUGUACACACC
rnacentral:rRNA from 1 species